UACGUAGGUGGCAAGCGUUGUCCGGAAUCACUGGGCGUAAAGGGCGCGUAGGUGGCCCGUGGAAGUCUGCGGUGAAAGCCCGGCGCUCAACGCCGGGUCGGCCGUGGAUACUCUCGGGCUUGAGCUUACUAGAGGCAGAUGGAAUUCCGGGUGUAGCGGUGGAAUGCGUAGAGAUCCGGAAGAACACCGGUGGCGAAGGCGGUCUGCUGGGGUAAUGCUGACACUGAUGCGCGACAGCGUGGGGAGCAAACAGG
rnacentral:rRNA from 1 species